AAGGGCACCACAAGAACGCGUGGAGCAUGUGGCUUAAUUUGACUCAACGCGGGAAAUCUUACCGGGUCCGGACACACUGAGGAUUGACAGGCAAUAUUAAUUAAUUAUAUUUUUUUUAUUCUUUCGGGAAUAAAUUAAUAUAUUUUAAUUAUGUUAAAUAUGCUAGUCCUUUCAUGAUUAUGUGAUAGGUGGUGCAUGGCCGUUCUUAGUUCGUGGAGUGAUCUGUCUGCUUAAUUGCGUUUCACUAAGGAUCUAUAAUUUACGUAUGUUUGCGGUAAUUUUGACCCCUCACUUUUGAGUGCGUGUUUUAAUUUACUUAGCAUCAUACAUUUAGAUUCUGAAAGCAACGAACGUGACCGCAACCUCUUGUUGCCUUUGAUUUCCACUAUAUUAUUUUAAUUUAUUUAUAAAUUUUAAUUUUAUAGUAAAAAGGCUUUCUAUAAAACUAGAGGGACUGCUGUAACUUUCUUAAACCAGAGGAAGGAUGCGGCAAUAACAGGUCUGUGAUGCCCUUAGAUGUUCCGGGCUGCACACGUGCUACAAUGAUUGUUGCAGUGAGCAUCUCAUUUUUUACACACCAUUUGUACGAGUGAGAAUAUACUUUUUAAGUAUUUUCUUUUACUCUGUACAUGGUAAAGCCUACUUCGAAAGUAAGUGGGUAAUCAAUUAGAAGUAACGAUUUCCUUUUUUAUAGCACAAAUAUAUACGGCGAUUAUAUCCGGGAUAUGCUUGUCAUAUCUUUGUGUAUAUGAUUGUUUUUUUCCGUAUGUGCAAUUGUCAAUUCAUGGUGGGGACAGACCAUUGUUAAUUGUUGGUCUCGGUCUUAACUAGGAAUGCCUUGUACGGGUCUUGGUCAACAGACCACCCGGAAUACGUCCCUGCCCUUGUACACACCGCCCGUCGCUCUUACCGAUGGACUUCUCUGUGAGUUUGAGGGACUGAGAAUCUUACAAAAUUUAUUUUGUAUAUCUUAUGGAAACUUAAACGAACAGUGUGGUCUAAAGGAAAGAGAAGUCGUAACAAGGCAUCGGUAGGUGAACCU
rnacentral:rRNA from 1 species